rnacentral:rRNA from 1 species
AUUGAACGCUGGCGGCAGGCUUGACACAUGCAAGUCGAGCGGGGAUAGGGUGCUUGCACCUGAUUCCUAGCGGCGGACGGGUGAGUAAUGCUUAGGAAUCUGCCUAUUAGUGGGGGACAACAUUCCGAAAGGGAUGCUAAUACCGCAUACGCCCUAAGGGGGAAAGCAGGGGAUCUUCGGACCUUGCGCUAAUAGAUGAGCCUAAGUCGGAUUAGCUAGUUGGUGGGGUAAAGGCCUACCAAGGCGACGAUCUGUAGCGGGUCUGAGAGGAUGAUCCGCCACACUGGGACUGAGACACGGCCCAGACUCCUACGGGAGGCAGCAGUGGGGAAUAUUGGACAAUGGGGGGAACCCUGAUCCAGCCAUGCCGCGUGUGUGAAGAAGGCCUUUUGGUUGUAAAGCACUUUAAGCGAGGAGGAGGCUACCGAGAUUAAUACUCUUGGAUAGUGGACGUUACUCGCAGAAUAAGCACCGGCUAACUCUGUGCCAGCCGCCGCCGUAACAC